GGGCGCCAAGGAGCACCUUGGCCGUCUGGGGUCUGGCGGGUAGAAAGCCAGCCCGGGUCGGGGUGGCCGAAGAGGACAGUGAUGGGCCCGGGCGCGGCAAGAAGGGGGGGUGCCAGACAUUCAUCCCGGUCACUUUUGGUUACAGGACGUGGCAGCUGGUCGGACGAGGGGGAGCUGUUCGGAGGGGUCUGAGCCGGAGACCUGGGCAACCAAGGGGUAGCUGGCAGCCCGUGCAGGUGUGGACGGCGCUCUGCCAGCCAGGUGAGUCCCUUCCCUCCUCGGGCCUCGUCUCCCCAGGCCACCGGAAGGCAGCCUGGGGUGCCGAGGGCCGGCGAGGAGAAGUGGCAGCCUUCUGGCAGAGCAGAAUGAAGGCAAGGCAGGGAGCAAAGGUGACAUCUCUCGGGGGGAGCCGAGACGGAGCAAGGCUGGGUCCAUCCCAGGGGAAAGAGACACUGAGAAAGGUUAGGGCGGAGCAGGUGGAGGGCUGCCAGCAAGGACAGAGAGGACACUGGGCUCCAGCAGGUGUGGGGACAGCGCAGGGCCGGCUCAGACAGGGCACAGACAGAAGGGUUCCCAGUUGCCACCACAUCCCACCCACCGUAAUUCACUUAGAAGCAGGCACAGGAGUGGCUCCGGUCAAGGGCUGACCAUGCCCUUGGCCGGAGCAUUGAAAGCCGGAGAGCGGGAAAAGAAAGGCAGUGUCCAGUAUUUAGCGGGGCGUCUUCAGGGGCGGCAGCGGCCAGGGACUCCCCAGAGAUAGCGCAGCAAGGAGGCUGCAACGGGAGCCCUUGGGCACUCUGCUGCCACGUGGCACUGCACCCCAGGGGCUGGCCCUCAGCCCCCGGGAUUGGCAUGGCAGACAGCAAGCACCCAGGGGAGUCAAGGACACGGGCGAGAACAGACAGGGCGAGGCGGGUGAGGUGGUGUGAGUGAGCUUUUCAGGAGGGAGGUGGGCACAGGCCGGGGCAAGAGCAAGCCUACUGGGGCGCUGGCUUCCUGAGCCCGUGGCCAAGGUGGGCCUGACGGGCUGCGACGGAGCGAGAUCGGCGCCCUCCCGCGCUUGCAGUGGGGACCAGGCCGGGUCUCCAGCGGGGCAGACGUGCCAGCAGUCACCAUCGAAGGUCUGGACGCCAGCAUGAACGAGCUGAGGGACAUGAUAUGGUCCGGUGUGACGGUGAGGACAAGAAAGGCUGGCCGUCCAGACUUGCAGAACAUCCUUGUAGGCACCGGGGCGGCUGUCCCCAGACGUGGAUCUCUGUCCCUUCGCGGCUGCCAAGGAGCUGACAUGCAUGUAACCACACUCAUCACUACUAUUACUGCUCUCUGGACCCUUGGAAUUCCCAGAAGUAAAGACGUCGCUGCCCAGCUCACGUCUGGGCCCUUGAACCCGGGGACUUGUUCAAGUCCGUCUUGUUGUGACUCAAGAAUUCUUAGCCUCUGGAACUCUGACACUGCCUAACUCAAAGUCAGCUCCCAAGGUGACGCUGAAGGAAGGAGACCACACCCACAGCAGCCGUCCAGUCACACCCCCGCCCCUGGCGACUCCAUCUUCACGGCCAUUCCCACGCUCCCCCCGCGGCAGCCGGGAGACCCCCGGAGCUGGGCCCGCGGGGGGGGCACCCCACCACCUCCCCUUUUCCGUCUUCAAUUUCUUCCUUUCUCUGAGUGACUGCUCUUCCAUAGCCUGAGAGACGCCAGGCGGCCCGACUCCACCCCCAUUCCCCCACAUUUUGCACUAAGUCGUAGGCACUGGUUUGGAGCGGCUGCAGCCCUGGGUCCCUCAGGCACGUGUGCAAGCCCCUUGGCCAGCUCCACACAGCCCUGGCGCCUGCCUAUCCGCCCAACUCUGCCAGGGUCCCAGGAGCUGGCUGUCGUAUGCUUGAGGCCUCAUCUCCACCCUCACCUUGUCUGUAAACUCCCGCCCAGCAGAGUGGCCUUGCAAACAUCACCAGGCCCAUCUCGCCCUGUGCCCCUCCCCACCGGGGCCCCACCAGGAGCCCUGGACUCAUCAAUAAACAUGGUUUCAGUAUUUGG